AAAGAUGUGAUCAAACCAACUGAAUGAAAUAUGAGUCCGUUCAGAAGAGAGCACAGGUGAACUGAAUGAUGAUAUGAACAAUCUGAGGACGAGGAGGACGAGGAGGACGAGGAUGAGGACGAGGAAGAGCAAGGUGUGAGAGUGUGGUCAAGGCUAAAUCCACACACUAGAGGGUUUCUUCUCAUCAUUUCCUGUCAUGUGACAGUACUGUAUAGAGGCGGGUUUAUAACACAUACAACCAAACCUGAUUAGUUUUGAUUUGACUCGGUUUCUUUAGCGUUUCAUCAAAGCCGUUUUAUAAAACUUUUUUCUGAAACUCAUCAGCAAAACAUCAGCACAGAUUUCGGAGCUGCGUCAAUGUUUCCUUUUUCCUGCUCAUCACAAGAUUCAAAUGGAGUGGAGAAAGAAAAUCACACAUCCAGAAAACUGCUGGAGCCCCAGAAAUCACAGAGCAGCAGAAAACAAGAAGACAGAGAGAAAAAUGGAGACACAAACCAGUGGAUCACAAGAGAAAAGAGAACUGAGACUUGUUAGAUGUGAGAGUAUGGACAGAAUAAAGCCAAGCUUGUCAUGUGAUCCAGAUGAGCCUAUAAAGUUUGAUUCUGAUGUCAAAACUGAGGAGAGAUUCUCUCAUCAAAACCCUUCAUCAUGUUCUCAAGAACACACAUCAGAUACCAGCAGCUGAAGACCUGAACAUCUUUUGAAAACGAGUUUCAAAGUGUAUGUUUUUGAAAAUAAUACCGUUAUCGUCUCGGUGUCAACUACAAAAACAUGAAUCUGUGAAAACGUUGACGUCACGUACAUGUGUUUUACGCCUUCAGUCUAUAUGCACAUAGUUUUCUUUACAAAGUGGCAUCGCCAUCUACUGGCCUGGCAGCAGAAUACAGCGAUUUCAGUUGUUUCCGUGGAUCCAUGUGAACGUGGAUUGUUUUGAUAAUGUUGUCUGUAUACGAAAAACGCAGUUGUUUAAUGGACAGUUUCUUCCUCAGAUCAGUGUCUCAAUCCUGCUCAGCUGCUGCACUUUACUGACACACCGGUGUUUGAUAGUGAACACUUGAACAUGCUUUAUAUAAGACAGAGAAACACCCUGAACAGACAGCUGGUCCACUGUAGAAAAAUGCACAUU